GUUGCCUCACUCCCGCGUCCGGAGCCGAGCGCCCUUUUCGCCGCUCGGCCGCGCCCUCAGACUCCGGGUUCUCUUAAAUGUUCUCUUGGAAACAAAAAAGAUGGAGAUGACAAGUGUGUCCCUGAAACGCGGGUGCCUCGUUGUGGAAGAUAACGACAGUGUGACCCCACAUGAGGAGACGAAGAAACAGAAGGUGUCUGAGGGCUGUGUGACCAACAGUCCGGACGGGGUGGAGAGUGACAGUCUUCACAGCAGUGAGACCAAGCCGGGGCCCCCAGAAGCGGAAAGCACCUUGAAAGAUGGCGAGAACUCCGGUGCUCAGGUGCAGGAGGAAGAGGAGGAGGAGGAGGAAGAGGACGGCCUUUCGGAGGCAGGGGAAGAGGAGGAGCCAGAGAGCUUUGCGGACAUGAUGAAGCAUGGGCUCACCGAACUUGAUGUGGGCAUCACCAAGUUCGUGAGUCCUCAUCAGGGCUUCUCGGGGAUCUUAAAAGAAAGAUACUCUGACUUCGUGGUUCAUGAAAUCGGGAAGGAUGGGCGGAUCAGCCAUUUGGAUGACUUAUCUGUUCCAGUGGACGAAGAGGACCCUCCAGAAGAUGCCCUCACUGUCUUGACAGCUGAGGACAGGCAGCAGUUGGAGGAGCUCCAGCUUUUCAAAAAUAAAGAAACCAGUGUUGCCAUCGAGGU
rnacentral:lncRNA from 1 species